UUUCCUGUGAUAACUCCAGCCUGUGUUAAGUUGACAAACAAAACCAGCUAGUACAGUAGGCAAUUCUGGUGCUGGCAGUCACCAGCCCUUGAGUGCCCCAUGGAACUAGACCCAGAAGUUUAUGGCUUCAACCCUAGAGAGCUGGAGACUCUAGGUUUUAUAACUCUUAGAAUUCUGGAUAUUGGUAUUGAAGUUGAAGGCUUAACUCUGUGGUGUGCUUUAAGCACUUGACAGCUGUUACAAUCCUUCACAUCCAAUAGCCAUGAGCAAUAGCAUUAGGAAGUAGUGAUAUCCAACACUUGUUAGCCUUGGCUCUCACAGUAACCAGUAUUGGAGCUCUCAGACCUAGUAUGUCUAAGGUGCUUGGCCUUAACUAUGGUUCUUGGACCUUAAGACUCUUGGUGUUUAAGCCUUGGAAGCUUUUUGAAACAGUCGGUGUGUAGGGCCUGCAGUUCUUCCUUUUCAGCUCUGUGCUGACUUUGUCAUCUCUGCACUCUUUACUUUCUAGGAGGCUUUAGCUACCCUUCAUUGUUGCUGUUGCUUCUGUUAUUGUGACCGUCUUUGCCAUCACUGCUGCCCUGCCUCUGCUUGCAUCUCCUACGUUACCAGCUCAGCCUGUUCUUUUACUAACAAUACCAAAAGCCAGCAAAAAGAGAUUGCUUGAGCUAGGUAUGUUGGUACAUGCCCGCAGUCCCAGUACUUGGGAAGUAGAAGCAGAAGGAUCAGGAGUUCAAGGUCAUUCGUUCUCAGUGGGUUUGAGGCCAGCGUGGACUACAUGAGAUCUUGUCUCAGAGAACACCACCAGAGCCUGCUUACAAGGGGCCCUCCGUUGGACCUCAUGUUCAUUGUUGUAACACUAGGGUGCAACACAGAAGGGUGUUUGGGGAUGACUCAAAGUCACCUGAAUAGCCUGCCCUGUUUGUUUAGCCAGAAAAAGUUGUGGCAGGUAUAUUUGUACCAGUCACAGGCCUUCUCUGGCUACUAGGAGAGGUGCUCACCAACUGACCUAACUGCUAAACCUCACCCAACCUCACUGGAAAAGUUCAUUGCAGCGUUUGAUGUAACAAACAUAGUUCCUUCUGGAGCCAGAGUCGUGUGCAACAAGCAGGUGUGAUUGCAGUGGAGCUACCUCAAGGAGUAGUCGAUGAGGAUGCCCACACAAGGCCAGAUUUACACAGACCCCACUGUGGAACCUCUGCUACAUCCUCACUGUCACUGUACAGACCAAGUGACCUCAGGUGCCCCGAUUCCUGGCUGGCCUCAAAGUCAGACUCACUGCAUAGACUGCAUCCUCCAGGACGUCUGUGGGAAUUGCACUAGAUGUGUUUUCCAGAUGCACAAGUGCUGAGGAAAUGAGAGCCUGCAAACCAAAGGAAAAGAAUGCUAAUGUUCUCUGGCCAGCUCCCACCCUGUUCCUGUCCCACAACGAAAAAGAAGAGUCUGCAAACAAAAGGCUUCUCCACGCUUGAGUGGAGUUAUCCAGUGUGAAGGAAGAAGAUGCUGAGUACAACAAUAAAACUAUAGUUACAGCAGCAGUGCGAUCUACGGCAGCCAGCACGGAGGUCAUCUCCGCCAUCCUCCUGGAGACCUAAAACAGUCCACAGCACAAAACCGCCAGCACGGAGGCCAUCUCCGCCAUCCUCCCGGAGACCUAAAACAGUCCACAGCACAAACCCCCUGUGUGGCUUGGCAAGCAGUGGAAAAAGAACUACUGAUUCUGCGCAUCAAGAUUUGAGGGGUGCAGGGAGAUCAGCCCUGGCCUCACAGAGCUCACCAUCAUUAGGAUGCCGUGGAUGGCCAGUGCUGCUGUAUCUAUAAACUCAUGAGUGACCGCCAUACGUGAGUUCCCGCUCCAUGCCUUCCCCAGGCCCAGGUUCUGCUGUGGUGCUUACAAACCUCCACAGUGGCAUGUGCUAGGCCUCAACAUUUCAAGGUUCGACAAAUCCUCUGCAAAUAGCACUGGCUUGGUGGGGGCAAGUGAAGACACCCCAGCAGUGCGCACUGACUGGUGAAAUGUCAAAGGACCGGGUGGCAUUUGGGUGUUAAAACUAAAUCCAGCUUUCAAGGUGCAGGGAGUGGGUGGGAGAAAGAACUAACAUUUAGUGAGUGCCAAGUCCUGUGACAACUUUUCAUCCAACAUGAACAGAGCCAGCAUACUGGCCUGUUAAAGCCUGUCAUUCAGCCAAUCAAGAGGCAGAGGCCGGAGGGUAGCAAGUUCAAGGCCAGCCUGGGCAACUUAGUGAGAUC